rnacentral:rRNA from 1 species
UGGUGGAGCGAUUUGUCUGGUUAAUUCCGAUAACGAACGAGACUCUAGCCUACUAAAUAGCUCGGGGACCCCCACAAAGGGGCCCCGCUUCAACUUCUUAGAGGGACAGGUGGCGUUUAGCCACACGAGAUUGAGCAAUAACA